rnacentral:lncRNA from 10 species
AUACUUGCUUUUUUUCUAUACUUUCUUUCGCAAUGCAAGUAGGGAGCUUAGAAUGGACAGUUCCCAGAAUCCUCCACCAGCAGGGUUUAAUUUGGAUUCAGAAUUUGUGUCAGAUUUAGAUGAAAGAGAACAGGAGAAGCACUGUUCUCCUCUGGCAGCAGAAGACACCUGCAGGGGCAGAGGACUUUGUUGAGAUCUGUAUCAACCUCAUGACUGCUGCAGGCAGCUGGCAUCCUCAAGGCUAUGCAAGACCUCCUGAACUAGCAGACAGCCAUAUGGUUGAGGAAGAUGUUUGGAGCUUCAGCUUCAGGAGUUUUCAGGUUGUGCCAUGAAAGGAAGCACGAAUAAGACAACUUUUGUGACAUUUGAAGAAUCGGGAGAAAAUUACCUGAGUAUAUUUUCCUUAAUAUUUUCUUUUGUAAGUAACUUUAUUGAAUAUAUUUCCAGUGCUUUGCUGACCUGCUUAAGUUUCUCUCUCCUUCCCUUCCUCCCUCCCUCCCUCCCCUUCUUCCCUCCUUUUCUACAAAUGCAAAAUUAAAUGAAAACACAAGACACCUAUGUAGUUAGCCAUUCUAUUAGGAAAUCAAGCUAUUGAAACUCAUUCUCCACUAGUCACUUAGUAGCUGAAAUUAAUGUUAAGCAAAGACAUCAAGAGAUCAGUUUGAUGUGCUAAUGUUGAAAACUCAAGCCUAUUAUAUAAUGGCAUCACCAGAGUGCAAACGCCCAAAGGCUUCUUCAAUAAGAUUACAAUCUUGACAUUUUUAGUGUUUGUGUGAUCCUCAACUCUCAGAAUGAUCUACAGACGCUUGUUAAAAUAUAGGUUUCUAGAGCCUACUCAAAUAAUAUGACUUAAUAAAUCUGAACUGGUGAUCGUUAUUUUGAUAAUUCGCAAGCUCCUUUCAGAGUAGCCAGAAUUAUUAAUACUCCAGGCUUAUGAGCCAGAUUGCCUGAGUUUGAGUCCUAAUUUUGCCACUUCCUAGCUGUGUGAUUUUGGGAAAGAUGCUUAAUCUCCCUAUACCCCAAUUUUCUCAUCUGUAAAGCUGACAUGAUAAUGAUGCUCACCUUCAAAGGGAUUUUAGGGGAAACAGAUAAUGCAAUGC